rnacentral:tRNA from 1 species
CACCAGAUAGCUCAGUUAAUUGGUAGAGCACCUGACUAAAAAUUAAGGGGUCCGGGUUCAAAUCCCAGUCUGGUCG